rnacentral:rRNA from 1 species
UACGUAGGGUGCAAGCGUUGCCCGGAUUUAUUGGGCGUAAAGGGCGCGCAGGCGGCUACGCACGUCCGUUGUGAAAUCGCCCGGCUCAACUGGGCGGGGUCAGCGGAUACGGCGUAGCUGGAGCAAGCUAGGGGGCAAUGGAAUUCCCGGAGUAGUGGUGAAAUGCGUAGAGAUCGGGAGGAACACCGGUGGCGAAGGCGGCCAGCUGGCGCUGACCUGACGCUGAGGCGCGAAGGCAUGGGGAGCGAACGGG